UACGUAGGGUGCAAGCGUUGUCCGGAAUUAUUGGGCGUAAAGAGCUCGUAGGCGGUCUGUCGCGUCGGCUGUGAAAACCCGUGGCUCAACCCCGGGCCUGCAGUCGAUACGGGCAGACUAGAGUGCGGUAGGGGAGACUGGAAUUCCUGGUGUAGCGGUGAAAUGCGCAGAUAUCAGGAGGAACACCGGUGGCGAAGGCGGGUCUCUGGGCCGUAACUGACGCUGAGGAGCGAAAGCAUGGGGAGCAAACAGG
rnacentral:rRNA from 1 species